ACGUCUAUUGGACCCGAAACCGAUCGAGCUAGCCGUAGGCAAGUUUGGAAUUUACCAAGACUGAACCCGUGUCUGUCGCAAGAGACUGGGAUGACCUCCGGCUAGGGGUGAAAGGCCAAUCAAGUUCGGUACAUAGCUGGUUUUCUGCGAAAUCUAUUCAGGUAAAGAGUGUGUGUUAAGACCAU